UGCUUAUCCCUUCUACACACGCGCGCGUGCGUCCAACACGUAUUGAGCCACGCCAAACCCGAAGCCUCCGACGGGGGGCAGGAAAAGAACUACAAGAGCGUCUGCCGCGCACCCCUCUCCACCCCCUCUCCCACCCUCCCUCCGUCCCUCUCCCUCUGCCCCUCCGUCGGUCCCCCUCCACCCCCAUCUCCUGUAUGCCUCUGUAUUAUAUAUAUAUAUAUGUAUGCGUGUGUGCAUGUACGUCUCCUUCUGGUUUCCGUGUCUUCUCGCUAACUCGCACUGUCGUAUUACGCGGUAGCAGCCUGCAGCAGCUGGUAGCGGUGGUGGUGGCACGAACCCUUGUCAUCAGCGCCCGCCCUUUUUUUCGUUUUCGCUUUCAUUGUCUUCUAGUUCGCUUGUGUCGUUUUGGCUGUGGCGUUGCUGCGGUGCGGUGCGCUGUGUGGUGAGCGCAUCGGUGUGCACGCGCUUGUGUGCUUUACGCCUCUCCGCUGUCGCUGCUGCUCGUCUGUCCGGAUCUCUUCCUCUCCGCCGUGGUGCUCGCCUCGCUUAUCAUUCUCUCGCUCUUCGCUCGUCCUUCCAUCCGCUACCUCCCCUCCCCUGAUCUCUCCCUCUUCUCGGCCGCAUCCUCAGUGUCUGUCGGUGUCGGUCGCUCCGUCGGCGCGUGUGUUUGCCCUUCUGCAUUCCUUUAGUGCUUCGUGAGUUGUGUGUGUGUGUGUGUGUGUGUGUGUGUGUGUGUGUGUGAAGUCGUUGCCUGCCUCCUUGUUCUUGUUGCUACUCUUUCACGCCGCCUCUCUCUUGGGCGGCUGAGGUGUACGGCGACGACGGGCCGGCUCCUGUCAACCUUCUCCUCCGCCUCCCCCCCCCACGCUGCUGUGCCGGUUCUUCUCCGUUUCGCUGGGACAUCACUUGUAUAGCGCACGCACACGCUGCGUCUGACCGUCUGUCUUUCCUUUUUCUCGCCCUCACCCAUUUCCAGCUGCCGUGCGCUUGCGUACGUGGCGCACCUGCUGCGCGUGUGUGCGUGUGUGUCGGCCCCCUCCCUCCCUCGAGCUGACCAAUGCUGCGCUGGGCGCAGCACGUCUUUGGCAAGACGAGCGCCAGUGCGGCGGUCGCGACAGACGCAAGCGAUGGCGGCACUGGAGAGGCCGCGGUGCGCCAGGCGCAGCCUCGUCGCCCGCGUCGCGGGGUUGAUGUGCCGCCGCUGAAGCAGUGGUGGAGUCCCGCGGAUGCGGAAGACGCCCCUGCCGGUGCGGCGCGUCACUCGCCCCCCGCCUCCCUCACCCUUUCAGACGCCGGCAUGGAUGGCGACUACGGCUCUCCCGGCAUCCUUGACCUCGCGGCGUCACUAAACUUCGGCGCAUCGGCUCCUGCUGCUCCUGCUGCUGCUGCUGCGGCGGCGGCGGCGGCGGCGGCGGAAGCGCCAGCAACGGAAAUGGUCAGCGCGAGAUGUGCGGACGUGACGACGACGUCCACCGCGCACGCUCACGACGACGACGACGCUGUCGACGACUUCCUGCGAAAUGUCAUUGCCGGCAAGACAGACAUGCUGCGCAAGCAGCUCGCUCGGGAAAAGCUCGAGGCCGCCGCCGCCGCCGCUGCAGCAGCAGCAGCUAAUCCUGGCCACCACCACAACAACAGCCCCAGCUGCACUCGCGGCGGCGGGGCUGGUCUCGACAAGAGCACCAGGCGCAGCAGCACGUCGACGUUUGGCACCGUGACUGGCGACGGCGCCGCCUCCAUGGGGAGCUCCAUGCACUUGCAGAAGUCGAUAAGUGCCGCCACCACCACGACGGGCAGCUCACUCGCAGGAGGGAAGGCGACGGCAAGUCGGGGAGGGAGCUCGAUGGCGGCGACAACGACGACGGGUGCAGCAUUGGCCGCUGGAGGCACCUCGCCACAGCACUACCACGCACGCCGGAGUCGAUAUGUCAGCUCUGCCGCCCGCUCGCUGCAGGAUUACGAGCUGAUUGCCUUUCUCGGCAGUGGCACGUUCGCUGAAGUCACAUUGGCGCGCAACAAGGUCACUGGGGAGUACUUCGCCGUGAAGAAGAUCUCCAAGCAGCGAGUAAAGGAGGAGGGCUGCGUUGAGCGCACCUUCACGGAGCGGCAGCUCCUCGCCAAACUGCACCACCCCUUCCUUGUGCGCCUCUACCAGGCCUUCCAGAGCCAGACACACCUCUACCUCGUGCUGGAUUUCGCGCAGGGCGGCGACCUCUACUCGCUCUGCGUGCAGCAGCUGUGGCUCCGCAGCAUGAAGCGAAGCCUGGUCAAGAUGCAGUACCCGUACUACCAGAGCACCUCUAGCACCUUCACCCCGGCGCCCCCUCCUGCCGCGGCAACGUCGAACGCACAGCUGACGGCCGGACCGGCCCUCUCGCGUCUUCCCUCCUCCGCCGCUGUGACACAGCCCACAGAGGUUGUUCCGGAUGCGCAGCGGCAGCAACCAAGAGUCAGCAGCGGCACCACGACCUCGGACAGAGACGCAAUCCUUGCAUCGCCCGCCAUGGUUGGAAGUGUCGGGUCCAGCACGGUCAGCAGUGCCUCUCGGCCGGGCUACACCGUCGCGGACACCGCCACGGGAGCGGCAUUGCCUCUGGCCUCAGCGCGGGAUGGUCACGCGAGCGGCGUGGCUGAUGGCGCCCACGAAGCCGUGGCCGCCGUGGCCGACGAGGAGGAGAUGAAAGAGGAAGACACGGACACAACAGAGUUUGACGGCGCCACGGACAACAACCGCAGCAUGGCCGAGGCCCCGCCGUCCGCAGUGCGGCAGCAGCAGCGGCAGAGUAGUAGACACGCCCAGCGAGGUGCCGCUGACUGCCCCAGCCGCCACCCGCGGCUUGCAACGGACUUGUUCUACUACACGACCGACGCCAUCGACGAGUUUGCCACCAGUCGCAACGUCGGCAGCGGCGGAAGCAGAAGCUCGCCAACGACACCCACCACCUCACGCACGCCGGAGGCCACAGAGUCCGCAGCGGCCCAUGCCGCGGCAGCAGCCGGAGACAGUGCUCCGGCUGCGACCCGAGAUGGCGAAGUCGCGUCCUCGACGGCUUCGGUGGGGUCUAGUGGCCGCGAGCGGUACCGGCUGCUGCGGCGGCGCACGCUUCCCGCAGUCGAGCGCGACGGUGGUGCGCGCGGCGGCCGUUCUAUGUCUUCAUCCUCUUCCUCAUCCACUGAUGAUGAUAACGGCAAGGGCAGACGGCGGCGAGAUACCGCUGACAAGGACGGCCGCGGCAGCUCUGCCGACUCGGCGCGGCGGCUAUCGUGGAAGCCGCGAGGCGUGACGUGCACAGGUCCGGCCACGCAGGCUGGGGCUGCGUCUCAGCACCCGCCAUCUCCUGCGGCAUCCACGCCAAGCUGUCAAACUGCCGCCGGUGGCGCCAGCGUCGUGUCUACCGCGACGAGCAGCACCGCCCUGCCCUUAGCCACCAGGCCUUCAGACCUCACGGCGAUCGACUUGGCAACGCCGAGGACGCAGAUGUCACUGCCACGGUCACCUGUGCACUUCCAGUACGACGAGAGAAGAAGCAGCAGCGGCCACAGCAACAACGGCGGUGGUGGUGUGGACGAGGCACUGCGAGGCGGCGAAUCGUCUUCGGCGGUGUCGGUGAAGUCCACGCCGUCGCUCACGGCGACCAAGUGGCGGCCGAUGCCGCGCAGAGCCUCGGCGUCUGAGCUGGCAGACAUCUUCGCAGUGGCCGCCUCGUCCGCGGCGGUGACGGUGCCCGCGACGAGCGCCGCAGGUGGCACCAGCGCGGCUGACGUGAAGAGGGGAAAGACCACCAAGAGCGCGUGGCCGCCGGCCACGGGGGCGGAGCAGCCGCGGCUCGCCAGCGAUAACAGCCACACCGCGACCAGCACCACGAGUGCAGCGGCAACGUCACUGCCAAGAAGGCAAAAAGGAAAGGCGAAGGUCGUCAGCGACAAAGACGAGGACAGCGGUGCGUCUACGUCGCCAUCAUCGCCACCGCCGCCACUGCACGCGGGCAGCAGCCACGGUAGCCGCCGCGCACCCGAAAAAAAGGCGACCGAGUCGCAUGAUGCGUCGGAGGCCGCGGUCGACCAGCGCUCCUUCUCCACGGACAUCACCGACGCAGCGAAGCCGCUGUCGGCCACCGUGACGACGAUGUCCUUCGUUGGUGCGACCGCGGCGCAGGACGCGGCAGCCGCAGCCGCCGCGCUUCGGGUCGAUCUGGCCGCGCCGUUUCGCCAAGUUGCGAUGGAGGGCAGCGCGAGUGUGCUGCGGACGCUGCCCAGCGCGGAGUUUGCGCCUGACGGGGCGCAUCGGUUCCCGCUGCGGCUCAUCGCCUUCUACGCGAUCGAAGUGGCGCUGGUGCUGCAGUACCUGCACCGUGAAGGUUUUCUCUACCGCGAUCUAAAGCCGGAGAACAUUUUGAUGCGCAGAGAUGGGCACGUGAUGCUGACGGACUUCGGCGUCGCGAAGUACCGCAAGGGUGCCGCAAUUAUGCCGUCAGGCAGCGGCGACGGCGUCCACGGCGAGGUUGCAAGCAGCCCCUACUCGGGUGCGGGUGCUGGCACCGAUGGCAGGGCGAACAGCUUCACCGGCACGACGCAGUACAUGAGCCCGGAGAUGCUGCGUGGGCAACCGCACGACUCCCGCACCGACUGGUGGAGUUACGGGUGUCUGCUGUUCGAGUGGGCGAAUGGGCGCAAGGCCUUCAACGCGCAGAACCAGUUCGCCCUCUUCCGCUCCAUCGUAGAGGAGGACGUGAAGAUCACCGCGGAGGACUACCGGCUCACGCCGCUGGAGGUGCACACGCGCGUCGCACAGCUGCACUACCGCGCGGAGGAGGUGCGGCUGGCCUACGAGCAGCGGGUGGCGCGGCGGAUGCGGCGGAGCUUCACGCCCUUGUCGCAGUCCACAAGACCGCCAGCGACGCCGUCGGCCCUCACAGCAGAGGUCAUCUACAACCCCGACAACCGCAGCUUCGAUGUGCAGCUGCGCUCUCCAGCGAUGUCGGCCAUGUCCUUUGCGCAGUCCGGCAGCGACGGCACCGGCGCAGCGGCAGAAGGGGCGGAGGAAGCGCUGACGAACGACGUAGUGAAGAGCUGCACCCCGCAUCCGAAGGAUUCCCGUCAGCGCCCACCGUCCCUGUUGCCGUCGUUCGACGCUGCAGCCACACACGUCACCCCGCACCGGCAUGCCCACCGUCGCCUGCACAGCUACAGCUACGCGUCGCCGCACUCCACAGCAACGGUGCCGAAAGCAUCCGUGGCGGUGCUGCUGAACGACUCCUUCGCGAACCAGCUCGGUGCGCUGGGCGUGUCCAGGACUGCCAGUGCGGAAGAAGACACUCAAGGACCGUCGCCGCAGUCGACGCUGAACGACUCCUUCGCCGGCGUGGAAUCCAACUCCGUCGUGUCGCUCUGUGGCGCGCCGACGAACCUGUCCAUGCGUCUGACCACCACCGAGGACGGCGUCAUCGCUGCGCUGCUCUCGUCCGCCUCCCCGACGGCGGUGCACCUCCAGCACCAGCAACAGCAGCAGGAGCGGCAUCGCCGCCAUCAGCGGCGCCGACUGCGUCUGUCCUGCCUCAACCUGGACGAGGCGACCCGUGACCGCUACAUCGACAACGCCGUCGCCCAGAUGGCUGAGGCUCAGGCGCUGCUGCGCGACCUGACGAUGAAGCUGCUGGACCGCCGCAUGGAGCACCGCCUCAGCGGCGAGGCCGUCCUGGAGCACCCCUUCUUCACCUGCCCAUACGUUGUCUCGCAGCUGUACUACGACGUUUAUCAGAGGCGCGUCCUGUCGACGGAGAUUCGCCGCUCCGUGCGCGCUGCCUUCGGCUCCAACAACUUGCCGGCCGACCUCGUCGCGCCAAUGUGGGAUGGGACGCUGCAGCAGCCCACGACGGUCGCCUCUCCGCUGCCCCCGCUGGUGCCAGCUUCCCCGACGCCCUUCGCCACGACGACCACCGCUGCUGCUGCCGCCGCAUCUGUCUCGCACACGCACGACUCCUUUCUGGCGAUUCCGCUGCCGUCGCAGACGCGGCCGGAGGACUGGCGCGAGCUCUUCAUGGAACGGCGCAUUCGCGCCCCCUACGCGCCGCGGCUGCGCACCCGCGACGACCUGCGCUACUUCCCGGCUGCGGUGACGGCGACGGGACUCUCUGCCGCGGCGGAGCAGCACCGCCGCAUCAAGGAGGUUAAGGAACAGCAGAAGGAGCUCAUGAUGAUGCGCGCCAAUAAAACGGCGGCGACCGCCACAAACAAAAGCUUCGGCAGCGCGAGCUUCCCAGCAACCCUGUCUUGCCCAAACACGCAGCUGACGGCGAACGGCAGUGGCAGUGGUGGUGGUGGCUCCGUCGUUCUUGUGCCCCUCGAUGCGGAGGCGGCGCAACAGGUGCAGCAGCUUCUAGUGGCGAGCGCCAGCAGUCUCAGUUUGCAAAAUCGCGAUGAUGCCUCUCUUCUGCCUGAGCUCGACCCCGACGGGCCAGCAGCCGUGCACACCGAUGGCGUGAGAACCGCUCUGGAAGUGUCCCACGCGGCCGCCGCACCGGUCGCGCUCACGUCUUCCGGCGCUGGCGUAGCGGUUUCCACGCCGGCCGCCAGCUCUCAGGGGCCGGCGGAGAAAACCCAGCCGCUGCAGCUGCCCGCAGUGGAAGUGAUAGCAGCCGUCACUGCUGACCUUGGCGAUGCUUCACCGUCGCACAAGCGACUGGCCGAAGUGCCGGCCCAGAGUUCCGCGGCCGGUGAUGCCCGAAGGGCAGACUUCGCGGAAGAGGUGCAGCUCGACACGAAGGGGACGACAGCGACCGGAACGGCGGCGACGACUGCGUCAGUGGCGCUCCCAUCACGCAUGUGGGAACCGCAGCUAGCAGGGCAUUGCUCAGCCAGGAUGAGCUCCGCGAAGGCAUCUCCGAUGGACACGCCACUCAGCGUGGGUAGCGGGAGCGGCAGUUUGACGACGUCAGCGGCGGUUGCUGAAUUUCGGCCAGACCUUUUUGACCGCGCUGCGACGCUGCCGCAGAGCUUCGUGGAUGCCGCGCUGGCGGUGGCGGCGGCAGCCCAGAAGAAGCAGCAGCGCUCCGCAGACUCCGGCACUGCCCCGAAAGCCUUGAUCACUGCCCCUGUGGAGACUCAGGGCAGCAGCACUGGAGCCGUGGCAGCGGCCGAGACAGCUUGCGCCUCCGCCUCCACCGACGUAACGCGCAGCACCGGCGCAGAGAGAAGCACCUUCGCGGCAACGCCACCGACUUCACUUGAGGCUCUGCCGCAGCAGCAGCCGGCCAGGGUAGAUGACGCCGCGCCCAACAGCUCUGUACUGCCCGCAAGCCGCGAGAUGGCGUACGCUGCCGACGGGCGACUGAGCGGAGCGCUCCCAACAUGUGGUGGCGUUGGUACGCACAGUACGGCAGACGCGGAGGUGGUCGUGGAGGAAGCGGAGAAGGAACAUGCAGAGGUUCUGGUAGACGAGGACGAGGACCAUGAUGGCGGUGGUGGUUACUAUGAGCAGGAUGCCCUCGCCGAGGACGACGCGCACGCGGUGGACGGCGGCGAUGAUUCCACGAUCGUGGAAGAGGCAGCAGCCGCAGCCGACAUGACGAGCGAAACAGAUACCAUCACGGUUGCCGCGGUCAACUCGACGAUGGAAGUUAGUAGCUUCGAAGACUCCCAUGCGAGCGUACGGUUGCCGACGCCAACGCGACGCGGCACGUUGGUCAAAUCGUCGGUAGUCGUCAGCAGCGCCGGCACGAGCGGGUGGGGAGGCAGCGCUGCGAACCCACUCUCUCCCGGCGUCGGCGGCGUCGACGUGGAGGCCGACAGCAACAACAGCGUCUGCCGCCGCGGCAACGUAUCGGUCACCGGUCCGACUCCCAUCGUGCCCGUGGAGGUGCCGCCGACUGCGAACGCUUCCCUUAACCUGCGCAGCCACUCGCGCACGUCGUUGGGCGGCGGCUCCACACGUCCCAUGCACGGCUCUCUGAAGGGGGCACCUGUGUACGCGUCGCCGCUGCUCGGCCACAGCGGCGAGAUGCACUGCGACCUCAGCGCCUUUACAAUGUCGCCGGUCUCCUCCACGACCACCAUGCUGCUCGAAGACUCGCAGCGGUCGCUGUCGACCAGCCUCGGCCCCAGCGGCGCUGGCGGUCCGUGUGGCACCAGCAGCGCGUGGGCGACGCCAUCGUCUGCCGACACACAGGUUCCUGAGCGGGAGUAUCAACGCCGAGUCCACCAUCAUCGCCAUCCGCUGUCGUACGCCGACGGCAGUGGAAACCAAGACGUGCCGGAUGCAUCACCGCACAUGCUACCGUUGCCGCCGUCCCUCGCGUACCGUGAAGAGAGUCAGCAGCAGCCCCCGGAAAAGCUUUUGUCCGCCGCGACGUCCUUCGAGAACGCCUUGCUUCCAGCAACCACCUCGUCCUCCAGCACCACCAACACCACACCCUUGGGAACGAUCAUGAUGAUCCAGUCCGCUGAGCUGACGGGCGUUGGCAGAUCGCUUAGUGCCGCCACCACCGCAGCAGGUACCGCAAGUGACGCCGCGCUGUCGUGCACCGCGUCGCCAGCGGCGCUGCAGGCGCUGGCGGCCGUCCGUGACGGUACCACAACCGUCGGCGGUGUCGAGGCCUCGCCCGAGAGCCCGUGCGGUGGGGAGCUGCAUAGCGCUGGUGCUGCGCGCUCGCGCGGCCCGCAGAUGCCGGCCGCAUUCUCCGCCGUGGAGCAUCGUGGUGCACACCCAUCAAGUGCGACUGCGUCUGCGGUCACAAGAGUGGCAAGCAUGAACGUCAACCACGACGUCGCUGAUGAUGACGACAACCACGAUGUGGGGAUAGCGGACGAGGCGGGCUACGAGAGAAGCGGUGGUGAGGAGCACAGCAGCGGCGACGACGACGGCAGUGACACGAUGACCACCUCCGGCAGCGCGAGCGAGGGGCAAGACGAGGACGAUCAGAAGAGUGACGCCAGUGAAUCGGUCGAUUCUGCACGGCGACCGACGCCGUCCCCGCCAGCCAGUGCACGUGGUGAGAACGUCGCCGGCAGUGAGCGCAACGCGGACGCCGUGUCGUCGUUGCUGGACUCGACUGCGUCAUCCAUCUCCACGACGACGUCCACUUCGGUGCACGCCUUCUCCAUGUCCUCGGAUGCCUCCUCGACAAGCUCGCAGGGUGACAACAACAGGGCAGCCGCGAUGUAUUCCACAACCAUUCGCCCACCAAUGGUACUGCUGGCCGGGGCCGACCGUUGCGGCGACGGCGGCCCCUCCGGCACCAUCAGUGGGCGCCGACAACGCGGUGACACCAUCUCCCUGUCUCCGUACGAUACACCGUGGUCGUUCAACGCUCGUAUCGGCAGCUGCAGCGGUGGUGGGGAUCACCGUCGCCGCGGCAGCGACCAGUGCAUGCCGCAUCGGUACGCCCACUUCGGUCGCGACGCUGCGCGUGGUGGUGUCGGCACGAGCAUGCCCUUCGCCGCCACAGACGUGACGGUGACGGUGAACCCGACCAUGUGCGCGACCCUCUCCGCUAACGCGCCGCUGUCCUUGGACAGCAGCGGCAGCCGGCUCUUCAGCACCGCGUUUGCCUCCUCUCUCAGCCUCGACACGAUCGGUGGCGGCGCUGGCGACACCGCAGGGUUCCUGGGGCCACUCACAACCACGCUCUCUGGUGUCGCGUACAACGUCGAUGACGAGGCUAGCAUGAGCACCUUUGCAGCGACGCCGAUGAUGCCGGCCGAAGGCAGCGACCGCGACAGCGGCGCCGCAUCGACGCCGACAUUGGGCUACGGCGGGCGCGGUCAGGGCGGCAAGGAUGCCAUCGGGGCCACCGCCAGCAGCGGUGCCGACAGCCCUUCAGCCGCGGGCCGCCGACGAGGCGUGCAGGCGAUCUGGGCGCAGCAGCAACGCAAGCGAAUCGCACGCGAACUACAGCAGCAGCAGCAGCAGCAGGAAUCGGAUCCCUCAGCGGCAGCGUCGCUGCUGUGCGAGGCUGGCGCUGAAAGCGGUAGUCGUGGCAUCAGUGACAGUGGAGGAUGGUGGUCGUAUUGGUCCAAGCACGGCAGCAACGACGCCACCAUCUCCUCUACAGACAAGCUCGUCGGCCUCACCUCCAACGACGGCUGUGCUGAGCCGCAGCACCGGCAGAUGCACUUGGGCGUGCCAUACGACCACACCAUCGGCGACGAUGACAAAGACGACGCGGCUGCUGCGGGGCGGGGCGGUAGCCCACCGCAGCGGCAGUCCUGUUCUGCGAAAAGCGGCGGUGAACAGGGCCGCAGUGAUGGUCGAGGUGGCAAGAGAGACCACCGGAACUUGGCAUUGACACGCUGCGGCAACGAAGGUGGUGCGGACGGCCGGACCGGUGCCACCGGCGACGGCAGCAACAGCGGUGGCCUCAGCAGCUUCGGCGCCGGGGGUGGCGGCAGCGGUGGUUUUGACCACUUUCACAACUUUUCCUUCACGUCUCCACAGAUUCUUCAGCAGUACCUUGCCUCCUCCUCCUCCUCCGGCGGCGGCGACGGUGACGUUGACGAGGGAAGGCGACGUCCGCACUACCAACGACUUCGUCGUGGUCGCCUGGACGGCGGCGACUCUGACAGAGAGCCCUGAUGCACGUCGGAUGCGCAAGUGGGAGGACUCUGGGGUGUGUGCCGCUUGUUACCCACCACGACCACCACCAACACCGCCGUCAGCGCUCCGCGGCUGCUCCUCGCGCGCCAAGCGCGAUGUUUACUUGGUAAGCAGAACUGUUUUCGUGCGACGCGUGAGGACACACGGCGGGCGAUCCCGGCCGGGGGUGGGGCGUGUGCGCAUCAGCACGCGUAUCAUCUCUCCACCGCGCAACCGACUUACCUGUGCCUUGCGGAUCUCCUUUCUGUAUUCUCGUUUUGAGUGCGUGCGUGGUGACGCGCGCGCUGCGGUCGAUGCACAAAUUCUCUAAAGCCACGGUGGGACAAAC
rnacentral:misc_RNA from 1 species